GAAAAACAAGUCUUUAUUCCUGCGAGUUUG
rnacentral:piRNA from 1 species